ACAACUUUCAACAACGGAUCUCUUGGCUCUCCCAUCGAUGAAAAACGCAGCGAAAUGCGAUAAGUAAUGUGAAUUGCAGAAUUCAGUGAAUCAUCGAAUCUUUGAACGCACCUUGCGCCCUUUGGUAUUCCGAAGGGCAUGCCUGUUUGAGUGUCAUUAA
rnacentral:rRNA from 1 species